rnacentral:rRNA from 1 species
CCCUUCGGGGUACUCGAGCGGCGAACGGGUGAGUAAACGUGAGUAAUCUGCCCCAGGCUCUGGGAUAGCCACCGGAAACGGUGAUUAAUACCGGAUACGACAACCGAUUGCAUGAUCUGGUUGUGGAAAGUUUUUCGGCCUGGGAUGUGCUCGCGGCCUAUCAGCUUGUUGGUGAGGUAAUGGCUCACCAAGGCUUCGACGGGUAGCCGGCCUGAGAGGGUGACCGGCCACACUGGGACUGAGACACGGCCCAGACUCCUACGGGAGGCAGCAGUGGGGAAUAUUGGACAAUGGGCGGAAGCCUGAUCCAGCAACGCCGCGUGAGGGAUGACGGCCUUCGGGUUGUAAACCUCUUUCAGCACAGACGAAGCGCAAGUGACGGUAUGUGCAGAAGAAGGACCGGCCAACUACGUGCCAGCAGCCGCGGUAAUACGUAGGGUCCGAGCGUUGUCCGGAAUUAUUGGGCGUAAAGGGCUCGUAGGCGGUCUGUCGCGUCGGGAGUGAAAACCAGGUGCUUAACACCUGGCCUGCUUUCGAUACGGGCAGACUAGAGGUACUCAGGGGAGAAUGGAAUUCCUGGUGUAGCGGUGAAAUGCGCAGAUAUCAGGAGGAACACCGGUGGCGAAGGCGGUUCUCUGGGAGUAUCCUGACGCUGAGGAGCGAAAGUGUGGGGAGCGAACAGGAUUAGAUACCCUGGUAGUCCACACCGUAAACGUUGGGCGCUAGGUGUGGGAUCCAUU